AGAGUUUGAUCAUGGCUCAGAUUGAACGCUGGCGGCAGGCCUAACACAUGCAAGUCGAGCGGAAACGAUGGGAGCUUGCUCCUAGGCGUCGAGCGGCGGACGGGUGAGUAACGCGUGGGAAUCUAUCCAGUAGCGGGGGAUAGCCCGGGGAAACUCGGAUUAAUACCGCAUACGCCCUGAGGGGGAAAGUGGGGGAUCUUCGGACCUCACACUAUUGGAUGAGCCCGCGUCGGAUUAGCUAGUUGGUGGGGUAAAGGCCUACCAAGGCGACGAUCCGUAGCUGGUCUGAGAGGAUGAUCAGCCACACUGGAACUGAGACACGGACCAGACUCCUACGGGAGGCAGCAGUGGGGAAUAUUGCGCAAUGGGCGAAAGCCUGACGCAGCCAUGCCGCGUGUGUGAAGAAGGCCCUAGGGUUGUAAAGCACUUUCAGUAGGGAGGAAAGGUAUAAGGUUAAUAACCUUGUACUGUGACGUUACCUACAGAAGAAGCACCGGCUAACUCCGUGCCAGCAGCCGCGGUAAUACGGAGGGUGCGAGCGUUGAUCGGAAUGACUGGGCGUAAAGCGCGCGUAGGUGGUUUGCUAAGUUGGAUGUGAAAGCCCAGGGCUCAACCUUGGAAUUGCAUCCAAAACUGGUUAACUAGAGUACGGUAGAGGGGGUAGAAUUUCAGGUGUAGCGGUGAAAUGCGUAGAGAUCUGAAGGAAUACCAGUGGCGAAGGCGGCCCCCUGGACUGAUACUGACACUGAAGUGCGAAAGCGUGGGUAGCGAACAGGAUUAGAUACCCUGGUAGUCCACGCCGUAAACGAUGUCUACUAGCCGUUGGGCAGCUUGACUGUUUAGUGGCGCAGCUAACGCGAUAAGUAGACCGCCUGGGGAGUACGGCCGCAAGGUUAAAACUCAAAUGAAUUGACGGGGGCCCGCACAAGCGGUGGAGCAUGUGGUUUAAUUCGACGCAACGCGAAGAACCUUACCAGGUCUUGACAUCCUGAGAAUCCUUUAGAGAUAGAGGAGUGCCUUCGGGAAUUCAGUGACAGGUGCUGCAUGGCUGUCGUCAGCUCGUGUCGUGAGAUGUUGGGUUAAGUCCCGUAACGAGCGCAACCCUUGUCCUUAGUUGCCAGCACAUAAUGGUGGGAACUCUAAGGAGACUGCCGGUGACAAACCGGAGGAAGGUGGGGACGACGUCAAGUCAUCAUGGCCCUUACGACCUGGGCUACACACGUGCUACAAUGGCCGGUACAGAGGGCUGCAAACCAGCGAUGGUAAGCCAAUCCCUUAAAACCGGUCGUAGUCCGGAUUGGAGUCUGCAACUCGACUCCAUGAAGUCGGAAUCGCUAGUAAUCGUGGGUCAGCAUGCCACGGUGAAUACGUUCCCGGGCCUUGUACACACCGCCCGUCACACCAUGGGAGUGGGUUGCAAAAGAAGUGGCUAGUCUAACCUUCGGGGGGACGGUCACCACUUUGUGAUUCAUGACUGGGGUGAAGUCGUAACAAGGUA
rnacentral:rRNA from 1 species